UGCAGUCGAGCGAACUGAUUAGAAGCUUGCUUCUAUGACGUUAGCGGCGGACGGGUGAGUAACACGUGGGCAACCUGCCUGUAAGACUGGGAUAACUCCGGGAAACCGGAGCUAAUACCGGAUAACAUUUUCUCUUGCAUAAGAGAAAAUUGAAAGAUGGUUUCGGCUAUCACUUACAGAUGGGCCCGCGGUGCAUUAGCUAGUUGGUGAGGUAACGGCUCACCAAGGCAACGAUGCAUAGCCGACCUGAGAGGGUGAUCGGCCACACUGGGACUGAGACACGGCCCAGACUCCUACGGGAGGCAGCAGUAGGGAAUCUUCCGCAAUGGACGAAAGUCUGACGGAGCAACGCCGCGUGAGUGAUGAAGGCUUUCGGGUCGUAAAACUCUGUUGUUAGGGAAGAACAAGUACAAGAGUAACUGCUUGUACCUUGACGGUACCUAACCAGAAAGCCACGGCUAACUACGUGCCAGCAGCCGCGGUAAUACGUAGGUGGCAAGCGUUAUCCGGAAUUAUUGGGCGUAAAGCGCGCGCAGGCGGUUUCUUAAGUCUGAUGUGAAAGCCCACGGCUC
rnacentral:rRNA from 2 species